UACAGAGGUGGCAAGCGUUGUUCGGAAUUACUGGGCGUAAAGGGCGCGUAGGCGGCCCGCUAAGUCAGACGUGAAAUCCCCCGGCUUAACCUGGGAACUGCGUCUGAUACUGGAGGGCUUGAGUAUGGGAGAGGGAUGUAGAAUUCCAGGUGUAGCGGUGAAAUGCGUAGAUAUCUGGAGGAAUACCGGUGGCGAAGGCGGCAUCCUGGACCAUUACUGACGCUGAGGCGCGAAAGCUAGGGGAGCAAACGGG
rnacentral:rRNA from 1 species